UCAGCAGAUGCCUUACUGUAAAAUCUGCAUUAAAAAAAACCCAAAACCCAAACCCGACAACCAAAAAAACCAACAAACUCAUUAAAACUUAAAUAUCGGAUAAUCUCAAACCAGCUCGCUGCCUGCCUACGCACCUCGACCAGUAUUCACCCGACUGACUUGCGCUCCUGAAAUCAGUUUCAUGCUUGUUUAACUGGUCUGAUCGGAAAGUAACUGAAGAAGCCGGAAAAUGGAGAACUGAGUGUCAUGUACGUCCUCAGACCUGCAGGGAAACGGAGCCGUGGCCAAAAAGUUGGGUGUAAAUGCGACAACAAAAAUAAAUACUUUACAUCACCGCGCAGAACAUAUUUUACUAAGUCAACACUUUGUUUUUCUGCUUUUCAUUUUUUCUUCCCUCUAGGAAGAGACAAUGCUCCCUUUUUAUUAGGUAUUCCCUAAAAGAC